UGUUCUUUGUUUCGUAUUAUAAAGGAUAGGGUCUGCCCUAUGAUUGUGAUUAAAUGGCCGCAGUAUUUUGACUGUGCGAAGGUAGCAUAAUCAAUUGUCUCUUAAUUAGGGUCUGGUAUGAAUGAUUUAAUGAAGGCAGGCUGUUUUUAUUAGGUUUAUGAAUUUUAAUGUUAGGUGAAGAUGCUUAAAUGAUUUUAAAAGACGAGAAGACCCCAUUAAGUUUUACAUCUCUCUUAUAUUAAGGUAACGAUAUAGGCUAAAUGUUUAGUUGGGGCAACUGCAGGAUAAGGAAACUUCUGUGAAAUAUAAAUAUUUUAUGUAAAUUAGGUAUGAUCCAAGGGUUUGAUUUUUAGAAUUAAUUACUAUGGGGAUAACAGCGUAAUUUUCUUAUAGAGUUCUUAUCGAUGGGAAAGAUUGCGACCUCGAUGUUGGAUUAAGAUACUUCUUUGGUGUAGCUGUUGAAGGGGGUAGUCUGUUCGACUAUUAAAUUCUUACA
rnacentral:rRNA from 1 species